rnacentral:rRNA from 1 species
UGAGUAACCUGCCCUUCACUCUGGGAUAACUCCGGGGAAACCGGGGCUAAUACUGGAUAUGACUCGAACAGGCAUCUGUUUCGGGUGGAAAGAUUUAUUGGUGGAGGAUGGACUCGCGGCCUAUCAGCUUGUUGGUGAGGUAAUGGCUCACCAAGGCGACGACGGGUAGCCGGCCUGAGGAGGGCGAUCCGGCCACACGUGGGACUGAGACACGGUCCAGACCUCCGUACGGGGAGGCA